CUAGAGGGUUAGAGGUCAGGGGUCAGGGGUCAGACACCACCUUAAUAACCACCUCACAGGGAGGCAGUACCAACUGGUGGGCACGUACCUAGAGGGUUAGAGGUCAGGGGUCAGACACCACCUUAAUAACCACCUCACAGGGAGGCAGUACCAACUGGUGGGCACGGACCUAGAGGGUUAGAGGUCAGGGGUCAGGGGUCAGACACCACCUUAAUAACCACCUCACAGGGAGGCAGUACCAACUGGUGGGCACGUACCUAGAGGGUUAGAGG